rnacentral:rRNA from 1 species
GGGGAAUUUUGGACAAUGGGGGCAACCCUGAUCCAGCCAUGCCGCGUGAGUGAAGAAGGCCUUCGGGUUGUAAAGCUCUUUCGGCCGGGAAGAAAUCGCGCAGGCUAAUACCCCGUAUGGCUGACGGUACCGGAAUAAGAAGCACCGGCUAACUACGUGCCAGCAGCCGCGGUAAUACGUAGGGUGCAAGCGUUAAUCGGAAUUACUGGGCGUAAAGCGUGCGCAGGCGGUUUUGUAAGACAGUGGUGAAAUCCCCGGGCUCAACCUGGGAACUGCCAUUGUGACUGCAAGGCUGGAGUGCGGCAGAGGGGGAUGGAAUUCCGCGUGUAGCAGUGAAAUGCGUAGAGAUGUGGAGGAACACCGAUGGCGAAGGCAGCCCCCUGGGCCGAUACUGACGCUCAUGCACGAAAGCGUGGGGAGCAAACA